CCCAGGGCUAACGCCCUGGGCUAUUGACUGCCGCCCCUUCGGGGCU
rfam:Planctomycetaceae bacterium SCGC AG-212-F19 AG-212-F19.198, whole genome shotgun sequence.